GACAGAGGGUGCAAACGUUGUUCGGAAUUACUGGGCGUAAAGCGUGUGUAGGCGGCUUUGCAAGUCGGAUGUGAAAGCCCCGGGCUCAACCCGGGAAGUGCACUCGAUACUGCGAAGCUUGAGUGUCGGAGAGGUUGGUGGAAUUCUCGGUGUAGAGGUGAAAUUCGUAGAUAUCGAGAGGAACACCGGUGGCGAAGGCGGCCAACUGGACGAACACUGACGCUGAGACACGAAAGCGUGGGGAGCAAACAGG
rnacentral:rRNA from 1 species